GAUAUGCUUACAAUUCAAGCAAGUGGCUGGAACAAGCGAAAGGCAGCAAACCUUGAGCAAACAUUGGCUAAAAGAUACAUGAAGACGGGGCAAAGGAUUACAGAAGCAACAGAGGAUCUGGAGAAACUCACCGCUGAAUUGUCACUACAGGACGACCAAGUACAGCAGAACACCCAUUCAAAAUGACCUGCAGAAGACCAUUGAAGGACUGUAUCUGAGCAUCAAGCA